GAGCCAUUGUCAUUUCAUAGUUCCUCCCAUGCAUCUAUAUUUCCACGCCCAUAUAAUACAUCAAAUAAAUUCACAACUUCAACUCCAAAAGAAAAAAACCAAGUACAAAUCGAUAGUCCCAGCAAAAUUCUUCUUAUUCUCAUUUAUUUCGACACAUGCCUCCCUCCACCAUGGGGGGGCACCGACCCCAUUGUCACUUCUUGGUUCCUUGCAUCCAUAUUUCCAUGCCAUCCUGAAACAAUUCAUUGAAGAUUUAGAACAUUUAGACCAUUAACGCUAAUUAAUCUAAGAGUCAAUGAUAGAUGGAAAAACAUUAAUUGUAACUUAGAAUUCAAAUUCAUAUUAGGAUCUACUUUUCUUAAUUUCUUUACAACUUUUUAAUUUUCUUGCAUGUACACCUCUCUAAUUAUUAUAUAAACUCUAUAUUUUCAAAGUCGUCCAUUUAUUUGACAAUUAGAUAGAUAUAUGGUUGACCACCAUGCAUAUGUUUUGAUCGAUUUUUUUUUUACUAUCUCCUUUAUAUUAGCAGUGAACUAACAUUAUCAACAAGAAUGAAAAUGACCAAGUUAAGAAUUUGGAAAGAGAUUUACAAAACGACGUACCAAUGGACAUGUUGAAACCGCGACUUUGGAGCUCACGAUACUCCUGGCACAAGGCGCAGGCACCGCAGAAGGCCCCGUGAACCAUAUAAUCACCACAAUAGCUCCCUUCCAAAGAAUACUGCUGCCUCAGUUUGGAUCGGUAGAGAUACGGUGCUCCAGUUGCCAAUAAAGCUACAUUUAUAGAACACAAUUAGAUCUCAAUGAUAUCUGUCUAGCAAGUAGCAGGUAAGGGAAAACAAAAAGAUACAGAAGGAUCAGAGAAGAUAUAUGGUGCUUACAUGUAGAUCCUUUAUCCACAAUCUCAAUUAUCCGGCCGAAGGUGACGCAAGGACACCAAAAUGUUAGCCAGCCUGUGCGCAUAGAUACAUACACAAAAAAUUAGUUUCGAGCAAAUUAAUUACAAAGAUGGAUCGGAGUAGGUUGUGAGGUAAUAUUACAGCUUUUGGGAUCGGAGAAGCAGUCAAGGAGGCCGGAAUUCCAAGGCUCGGAAAUGAUGAUGAGGAGGAGGUUUACAAGAUAAGUGAAAGGUGGUACGUUUGAAGCAGCCUGUAUCUUCUACUCUUUGUAAAUAAAUGAGAUAGACGAAGAAGAAUUUAUAGUCGUGUCACUCGUAUGAAGCACGGCCAAGUUGGCCAACCUUAUCUUAUUCAAAUGGCUAAUGAUCGAAGUUCAGAUACGGGUAGACCGAUCAGUGUUGGAGUGUUUAAGGGGGGACGGGGUUCAGUUGACGUCGUUCAGUUUUAUGAAUAGGUUAUUCUGUCAUAUAAUUUGUCUAGUUUUUUUUUUUUUUUUGAUAAGAAGAAAAUCUAUUAAAUAGAGGUGUCUCGCCGGCACCCAGAGUUUACAUUGUCGAAAACAAGGGCAAGAGAUGCUUCUGGAGGAACACACUCCUUCCAAAAGUGACAAUUCUCAAUCAUAUACCUUAUGUUAGCCAAAGCAUUGGCCACACAUAUAAUUUAUCAGUUGAAAUGUGAUGUUAGCUCUAUUAAAGAGUUUGACAUAUAAAAUAUUAAUUAUAACAAUCAAUUUGGAUAGAGAGUGUUCAACUUCUAAGGUGUGUUUGUUUGCAAAGAAAACUCUUAAUCAAUAUAGGUUUAAUUACGUGGUUCUCUUUAUUUUUUGAAUAUAGAUUUCUAAUCCUAACCAAUGAUUGAUUGUUUUUUCCUUUAAUAUUACAAUUAAAACAUAUUCCUAGUUUUUUUUUUUUGUCUUUUUAAUUAAAAUGCUUUCCUAAUCAAUCAAUGAUUGUGAUUGAUUUCUCGUGCACCUCUAUAUAAACAGUUUUAGCCGCUUCUUUACGUAUUCUUUUUUGUUAUCCUUCAGUAAAUUUUUUCUUGUCGUCGACAACCUUCAUAAUUAAAAACUUGCAAUUAUGGAUGCUUUAGCUUUAUUUGACAAGUAUCGUAAGAGAAAAACAGCAGAACAGUCGACACAAUUAAAACAUAUUCCUAGUUCUUGUCAUAUUGACCAGGAUGUUGAUGAUAAGCAGGAUGGCUAUGGUAGGGGUUGCUGGAGCUCAUCGGAAUACCCGUUGUUGGAGAAUCAGCACUGGUGGUCUUGGAGAACUUCUCGUAAGACAUGAUGAUCGAGGUUGUGAAAACGAAGAUUAGAAUAGAUGAAGAAGAGAACUCAAGGAAGCCUCUUAAUUUGUAGCUACAGAAAAUGAGGCAGAUGACGACUUUGAAAAAGACUCGAAGAAAACAAGAAUUGAACACAUAGACAAUCAGUCUGGAAUGGGAUGGUUGCUGCAUCCAAGGAAUAAAAUAUCAGGUAUUGAGGAGAUAUCGAUAGUCCGAAAAAUAGAAAUUUCGAUGGAGAUAUCAGAAAGUUUCGAUUUUAGUACAUUUUCGAUAAAAAUAUUAGUACUUAAUUGUAAAGAUACACUAGUAUUACCCAAAGAUUAAAAUAUCGGCAUCGUUGCAUCUAUCGGUACUUUGAAAAAUGGAGAUAUCGGAUAUAUCGGGGAUAUUCGAGAAAAAAUAUCGAGAUUUUAGAUAGAUACAUGAUUUUCUUUGAUUAUUGCUUUUGUAGGUCUUCUUUUUCCCAAGUCAAUUGCAUGAAAAAUAAGAAGAAAACAAUGUUACUUUGUCACGACAGCUAAUCUACUGUGGAAACAAUUGGUUAUAUCAUCACCAUCUAUUGUGGAAACAAUUGGUUAUAUCAUCACCAUAUCACCAAAUGGAAUGCCAACAAUUAACAUGAAACAAAAUAUCGAUCUUUAUGAUCAUUUGCCACACUUCGCACGGCAUUGACUAGCAAUGGUCCAUUACUGCUAUAUCAGAGCUACUAGUCUUUUGAUUAUGACAUUAGAAAAUAAAAACUUUAUACCUUGAUAUUCUUCUUAUGAGAAUAGUUCCCACAACUUCAGGAAGACCCCUGGGGACAGAAAUGGAGUAAUGGUAUAUUCCAUACUUGAGGCCAGUAAUGGACUAAUGGUACGUGAUGGUAAGCUACAUAUAUUCUAAGUUCGAUUCCGACAUGCAUGCAUAGAUGGUGAUACUGAUAGUCAAUCACUUACCAUCCGCGUCAUUAUCAUAUAUAUUUUCAUGCAUGUUUGUAUGUGUUUCUAUUAAUUUUCAAGAAAUAUUUGAGACGACAAGUCUGGAAUUGAAAGCUAAAGGAAAACAAGUUACGGUACCACUUCAUCAACUGAACUUAACAGUUAUAGUAGAAAAUAAGGAUUCAAUAUGAUUUGGAAUGCUUCAAUGUAUAUUCUUCUCCAUAUUGGAGGUUUAUAUAGAGAUACAACUGUAGUGCUAAUAGGAAAAAUAUCUCCUACAUCUAUACAAAAAUAUUUAACCUACACAUACAAGGAAAGUAAAUAUUUAUAAAUAUUUACAAAUAUUCUACACCCCCCUCAAGUUGGUGCAUAGAUAUCAAUCAUGUCCAACUUGUCAACUGAGUCGUCAAACACUUUCCUUGAUACUCCUUUCGUAAGAACAUCUGUCAAUUGGUCUUCUGUAUACACAAAAGGGAAACAUAUUAUUUUUCUGUCCAAGUUUUCCUUGAUAAAAUGCCGAUCUACCUCCACAUGCUUGGUCCGGUCAUGUUGAACAGGAUUAUGAGCAAUUUCAAUUGCAGAUGUGUUAUCACAAUGCAAGUCCAUAGGUUGUUUGAGUUUAAAACCCAAUUCUUUCAACACAUUACAAAUCCAUAACAUCUCACAAACUCCAUGUGCCAUACCUCGAAAUUCUACUUCAGCACUUGACCUGGCAACAACCUUCUGCUUCUUACUACGCCAAGUUACAAGGUUUCCUCCAACAAAUGUAAAAUACCCAAAUGUAGAACGUUUGUCUAUCUUAUCACCAACCCAAUCAGCAUCGGUGUACCCUACAACUUCCAAUUCACCCUUCUUUUCGAACAACAAGCCUUUUCCAUGUGCCAUCUUAAGAUACUUCAGAACACAGUACACUGCAUCUAUAUGAUCUUCAUUGGGAUAAUGCAUAAAUUGACUAACCACACUCACAGCAUAAGCAAUAUCAUGUCUAGUAUGAGAAAGAUAAAUAAGUCUCCUUACUAGACAUUGAUACCUUCCUUUAUCAGUCGGGACUUGAUCUGGAUAGAUGGCGAGGUUGUGGUUCAUCUCAAUUGGUGUCUCAACCGGUUUGCAGUCAAGCAUUCCAGUCUCAGCUAACAAAUCAAGUACAUACUUACGUUGGGACAAAGAAAUCCCCUGCUUUGACCUUGCAACUUCAAUUCCAAGAAAAUACUUCAAAUGUCUAAGGUCCUUCAUCUCAAACCCCUUUGAAAAGUACUUUUGUAGAGCCUCCAUCUCCUUUGGGUCAUCCCCUGUGACAAUCAUAUCAUCAACGUACACAAUCAGAGCAGUGAUCUUACCCUGACUACGUUGGAUGAACAAAGUGUGAUCUGAGUUGCUUUGUUUAUAACCAAACAUCUUCAUUGAUUUGGAGAAUCUUCCAAACCAAGCUCUAAGAGAUUGGUUCAAACCAUACAAGGACUUAUUUAACUUACAAACCUUGUCAGCAUCGCAUGGUCUACUUUUGACUCCUGGUGGCAUGUCCAUAUACACUUCUUCCUCCAAGUUUCCAUUGAGGAAAGCAUUCUUCACAUCAAACUGUCGCAUAGGCCAAUCUUUAGUUGCUGCAAGUAAAAUCAAGAUUCGUACAGUGUUGAUCUUUGCUAUAGGCGCAAACGUUUCUUCAUAAUCAAUGCCAUACUGUUAGGUAUAUCCCUUGGCAACCAACCGUGUUUUAUACCUGUCAAUGGUCCCAUCUGCUUUCAACUUUACGGUGAAUACUCAACGGCAACCAACGGUCUUCUUCCCAGCUGGUUUAGACACAAUAUCCUAAGUCGAGUUUUUCUGUAAUGCCUCUAGUUCUUCGUUCAUCACUUGAGUUCACUUGGGAUCUUCCAUUGCAUCAUGUAUAUUACUACGAAUAGAAACACUGGAUAAUUGAUUAAUGGCAAUGACGUGUGACUCAGCCAAUCUAUGGUUAGACAUGUAAUUGGCUACAUGAUACUUAGUUUUGACUUUAAUGGCAGGUUCAUAUUGUUUUUUUGAAACACCUUUAGUAAUCUCUGUGACUUUCUAGAUACAAUAUUAUCUACCUCAGAUAAUUUAUUUGAAUUUAAAGAUACAUGAGCAGGACAUUCGCGGCAGAUUCUUUGUCGGCAUCCACGCUAAAGAGACGUCCACGCCGUCCACGCCGUCUGCCUCCCUGACAUCUGCGUCAUGUGCAGCCGGUGGGGUCUCCAUGUCUACCUCCCUGACAUCUGUGUCAUGGUGCAUCAAUUCCAUUAUUUUUUGUAGCUUUGUUAAUUCCGAAUCUGGACUCCAAAGCUUCCAACUCUUCAAAUUCCUCAAACUCAAAUAAAUGUCUAGAAUUCUCUUCACAACCUCUCUCCCCCUGAAAGGAAGACGUCGGAACUUCCCCUGAGUAAUAAGGUUUAUAUUCUCGAAAAGAAACAUCAACAGACACAUAAAUUGUAUCGGUGAGAGGAUCAUAACACCGAUAGCCUUUCUGAAACUCGGCAUACCCAAUAAAGAUACACCGUUUGGUACGAGGAUCAAGUUUUCUUCGUUGUUGCUUGGGAAUAUGAACAUAUACUACGCAUCUGAAAACACCGGGCUCCAAGUUUGGCAAGGAUGGUACGAAAAGAAGAUGUUGAAGCUGUUGUAGAGGACUUUGAAAUUCAAUCACCCGAGACGGAGUACGAUUAAUGAGAUAAGCAGCAGACUUCAAAGCUUCUCCCCAAUAUUCAAGAGGUACAUUCAUGCCAAAUAAGGAUGCGCGGACAACUUCAAGCAACUGUCGAUUCUUUCGCUCUGCCAAUCCAUUCUGUUGAGGAGUGUAUGUAUUUGAAGUCUGAUGCCUAAUUCCAUGAGUUUGCAUAAAUUUUUGCAUAGGACCAUUAAUAUAUUCUCCGCCAUUGUCAGAUUGGAAGACUCGAAUAGCCUGUUGAUACUGUAUAGACACCAUCUUGUGAAAUUCUUGGAAUAUGGAACAAACCUCAUUCUUAUUCUUCAUAAGAGAUACCCAUAUCAUCCGAGUAUAGUCAUCAAUAAAAGUCACAUAAUAUCGAGCUCCAGAAUGAGUAGAGAUCUUGCCAGGUCCCUAAACAUCAGAAUGAAUUUUCAUGAAUGGAAUGGGACUUUUAUUAAGACUAGGUGAAUAUGAAAUCCGAUGGCUUUUAGCCAAUUCACAUACAUCACAAUGAAACUUUGAAUCACUAACAACCAAAAACAAAUGAGGUUGUAGUUUUUUAAGAUAACUAAAAGAUAGAUGUCCCAAUCGCUUGUGCCAUAACCAGGGGCGGAACCACGUGAAAGGCUGGUACGGCUAUAGCCUAGACGAAAAUUCUAGAGGUACAUAUAAUUGUAUAUAAUUGUAAAUUGUAUGUACUAGUAUGUAAAUAAAUGUGAUUUUAGUUACUUUUUUUAUUUUUUUCUUAAAGUCACAUUUCUUUACAUACUAUAUGUGACUUUAGUUCAGUUGAGUCUCUUAGGAAGCAUUUCUUUCCUUUUUUAUUUGCUGUUUCCCAAUUUUCUUCUCCUUAAUUAUUAGAAAUUUGGUUUUUCCUUUUUUUUUUUUUCUUUUUCACCCAGUUGUUCUUCCUUUUCUCCUUUUCUUUUAAUUUCUUUUUUUACAAUGUCAUUCACUGGUAUUUCUUAAAAAUUUCUUAACUCCCCAUCCCUUUAAAAUUUAGUUCUAAAUAAUAUAUAGGGAGCCUUAUUAACAAAAUAAAACAUUAUAAACAAGCCUUAUAUUAGCCUAACCCAAUAUUACAUCCUGGUUCCGUCAUUGGCCAUAACCAUAUUGUUGCCUUUGCAUUCUCUACUCCAUUGACCUGAUUCACUUGUCCCAAUAACUAUUGCUCUCCUUGCUCUGUCAGAUCCAAGUAGUAAAGUUUUCCCUUUCUAGUACCACAACCUAGAACCCGCCAAGUUAGAAUGUCCUGAGACACACAAAAUGAGGGAUAAAAAGUCACAAUACAUGAUAAUGCUUGAAUGAUUUGGCCAACUGAGAGGAGAUUGUAUGCUAAUGAUUGGACAACUAAAAACAUAAUCAAGGGUUAAUGUGUUGGAGAGGACAAUAGAGCCUUCUUCGGUGACUGAAGUUGGAGUACCAUCAGCAGUCGAAACAAUAUUUUGAGUGGAGGGUUUAAAUUUUUCCAAGAGGCUAGGAUCAUUAACCAUAUGGUCAAACGGCCCUGAAUCAAUAAUCCAAGAAAUAUUCUUAGAUACCUUACCGAUUAUACAUGUUUCUGCGACAUUGGCGGAUGCAUUGGAUGGUUGCUCCUCUUCUGUAGUAGCUAAGACAUCAUUUGCUUGAUUCUUUCGGGGUUGUCUUGUGAAAUCCCACCAAUCUGGGUAACCGAUGACUUCAUAGCAUCGUCGCUUGCAAUGACCCAAGUCUCCACAAACCAGACACUUGACGUUUGCAUAAGGAUUCGGUUUUGCUGGGGAGCUACGUGGUGGAGCAUUUGAGAAGCCUGGAGGAAGACCCUGUUUGCAUUGGACAACCAAAACAGAAGACUCAGCAGCAUGUCCCAUAACUUGCCGAUCAGAAUGCACCUUUCGAACAUAGCCAUAACUUUGCUCCAAGGUGAAUUUUGGGUCUUUGCAAAGGAUCUCACCAUAGACUUCAUCAUACUCUGAAUCAAGCCCACUAAGGAACAUGUGAACUCGCAUACGCAUCAUAGCAGUCGUUUCUUGAAUAACUCCAGCUAUUGUGUUGUUUUGAGAGGCAAUACGUUGAUCGAUCUCAUGGAACAUUCCCACCAAUUCAUUAUAAUAGGUAGGAAGAGGCUGACCAUUCUGUCUCGUUGCAAAGCACUUCUUAUUCAAUUCAAAGAUUCGGGUCUCAUCAGAAUCAUCAUAAAAGGUCUUCUCAACUGCUUCCCAAACAUCUUUGGAUGUUGGUAGUCGGAUAUACCGAUUGAUGAGUGAUGGCUCCAUGGAAUCAAUGAGCCAACCUUUUACUCUCUCAUUCUUUGUGGCCCAAGUUUCAAAUUCAGGCGAAUUCUCAUCUGGUGCGACUUUGGCUCCGGUGAGAUAACCAACCUUACCGCGUGCUCCAAUCCUCAUCUUCAUAAGAGGUGCCCAUAUUGAAUAAUCGGUUUCAUUCAAGGCAACACUGGUCGGAAAGGCCGAGUUGUCUUGAGUGGUGGUAUGAUAAUGGUUGACGACUGGAGGCAUGAGUGCAAAGGGGUUUUCAGGUCUGAUGAUUUGAUCUCCCAUUGAAACUAAAAAAGGUUUGUUUUUGUUUGUACGCAGCGGAUUUUGUUUUUGGUGUUAUGAAAUUCAGGUUUCGGGUUUCAGAAGAUACAAGUUUGACUGGCUCUGAUGCCAAGUAGAAAAUAAGGAUUCAAUAUGAUUUGGAAUGUUUCAAUGUAUAUUCUUCUCCAUAUUAGAGGUUUAUAUAGAGAUACAACUGUAAUGCUAAUAGGAAAGAUAUCUCAUACAUCUAUACAAAAAUAUUUAACCUACACAUACAAGGAAAGUAAAUAUUUACAAAUAUUCUACAGUUAUUACCGAGGUCAUUAUACUAAAACAGAAAAUGAAUCGUCACAUUGACAUAGAACAAUUAGUUAGUUGCUUAAUUAAAAUUAUCGAUGAAAAUAAAAGUUGCACUACGUAGAUUGAUGCCCACCAAAUUAAACUUUUGGUUUUGAAUUACUCAUAUUCUCAUAUAAUAUCUUCGUCAAUCAUAUUAAUUGAUGUGUGUGAUAUAAGAAAUUAAACCACUUAAAUGUCAAAUUCAAUCAGAUUACUGUUGAUAUAUAUAUAUAUAUAUGUACAGGGCCCUUCCAAUGAGGGAUCCCUAUUUUAAGCCAUUUAUAGGGAUAGGGCAUUACACCAACUUCCCGAUUAUAAUUUUACAUCUCCACCGUUCAUAUCUUAGGUCUAUAUGAGUAGAUCACCUCUAUAAAAUUUCAUAUGAUUUGGUGAUCGUUAAGGCUUUCAAAAGUUCAAUUUAGUUUUAAUGACCUUCAACGGUUUUAGUUUGACAUAAGCUGAACCGUUCAAAAUCAUUAAAACUAAAUCAAACUUUUGAAAGUCUUAACGAUCACCAAAUCAUAUGAAAUUUUGUAGAGGUGAUCUACUCAUAUAGACCUAAGAUAUGAACGGUGGAGAUGUAAAAAUUCAAUUGGGAAGUGGUGUAAUGCCCUAUCCCUAGAAAGUGGUCAAAAAUAGGGAUCCCUCAAUGGAAGGGGGCUGUAUGUAUGUAUGUAUGCAUAUAUAUACAUAUAUAUAUAUAUAUGUACAGUUCAUUUCCAAAGCAAAGCUUCACUUUGAAAUUAAAGUGUGAAGUUCCUUAUUUGACUCACUUUUCAGUCAUAUUUCCACAUCUCCACCAUUCAGUUUGUAGAACUUAAUGCAUAGAUCACUUCUGCCAAGUUUUAUUGAAUUUGAUGAUCGUUUGGGUUUUCAUAAUUGUUAUUUACACAAACAGUUCUGAAUAGACAGAUUUAUGGUCCGUUCAUUGAUUUAAUCUAAUUCGGCACCUUAACGAUUACCAAUUUGGAUGAAACUUGGCAAGAGUGAUCUAUGCAUUAGGUUCUACAAACUGAAAGGUAGAGAUAUGGAAAUAUGACCGAAAAGUGAGUCAAAUAAGGAACUUCACACUUUAAUUUCAAAGUGAAGCUUCGCUCUGGAUAUGAACUGUAUAUAUGUAUAUACAUAUAUGUAUAUAUAUAUGUAUAUGUAUAUAUAUAUAUAUAUAUGUAUAUCAGGGCCCUUCCUUUAAGGGAUUUUUUUUUUUGUACAUAUAUGAGGGAUGAAGGAUUACACCUAUUUUUCAAUUAUAUUUUUGAAUCUCCACCGUUCAGCUUGUUAGUCCUUAUAUAUAGAUAAAUUCUGUAAAUUUUCAACCAAUUUGGUAAUCGUUAAGGUGUCGAAGAAGAUUAAAUCAAUAAACGAAUCAAAUCUGCUAAACCUGAACCGUUCAUGCUUAUCAUUAUAAAUCAUAGUUUUGAAUGUCUUAACGAUCACCAAAAUUUCUGAAAAUUUACAGAAAUGAUCUACUCAUAUAGAACUACAUAUUGAACGGUGUAGAUGUGAUUUGUGAUCGAAAAGUUGGUGUAAUCCCCCAUCUUUCAUAUAUGUCAAAAACAGUAUCCCUUAAUGGAAGAGUCAUGAUGAUAUAUAUAUAUAUAUAUAUAUAUAUAUAUGAUNNNNNNNNNNNNNNNNNNNNNNNNNNNNNNNNNNNNNNNNNNNNNNNNNNNNNNNNNNNNNNNNNNNNNNNNNNNNNNNNNNNNNNNNNNNNNNNNNNNNNNNNNNNNNNNNNNNNNNNNNNNNNNNNNNNNNNNNNNNNNNNNNNNNNNNNNNNNNNNNNNNNNNNNNNNNNNNNNNNNNNNNNNNNNNNNNNNNNNNNNNNNNNNNNNNNNNNNNNNNNNNNNNNNNNNNNNNNNNNNNNNNNNNNNNNNNNNNNNNNNNNNNNNNNNNNNNNNNNNNNNNNNNNNNNNNNNNNNNNNNNNNNNNNNNNNNNNNNNNNNNNNNNNNNNNNNNNNNNNNNNNNNNNNNNNNNNNNNNNNNNNNNNNNNNNNNNNNNNNNNNNNNNNNNNNNNNNNNNNNNNNNNNNNNNNNNNNNNNNNNNNNNNNNNNNNNNNNNNNNNNNNNNNNNNNNNNNNNNNNNNNNNNNNNNNNNNNNNNNNNNNNNNNNNNNNNNNNNNNNNNNNNNNNNNNNNNNNNNNNNNNNAUAUCGAAGAUAUAUCAUAAAUAUCCUAAAUAUCGAAGAUAUUUCCUAAUAUCAGAGAAAUAUCAGAGAUAUUUGACAGUAUCGGAGAAAUAUCGGAGAUACGGUGGAAGAUAAGAUAUUUACCCCUCUAAAUAUAUCGGUCCUUAAAAAAAAAGAUAUCGGAUAUAUCGUAGAGAUUUUAAUCUUUGGUAUUACGAAAUCCUCACCCAACAGGUAUGGUUGGGGCAUAUUGGUUUCAUUACCACAACCAAAGUUCAAUUCAUGUUGGAGGCAUAGUUUGCCUUUUUCUACGAUUUUUGAACCAAUUUGGGCCAAAGUUGGUACUUGGGCUGCGUGAUAAUUGUCAUUGAAACUAAUUUGGGCCAAUGUUGUUGGUACUUGGGCUACGUGAUAAUUGUCAUUGAAACCAAUUUGGGCCAAUGUUGGUACUUGGGCUGUGAAAUUUCCUCAUAUUUCGCCAAAGUAUCGCAAAUUUCACGAAAUAUUGCGAUAUAUCUAAAAUAUCGCACGAAACUUAGAAGGUAUGUGAAGAUAUUAUCGCUAAGCGAGAAAAACAAAAAUUUCACCGAAAUAUAGGUGAAAUUCUCGAUUUUUCACUCCUUGGCCGCAUCAGUCAUGUGACACAAACGCCUGCGUGGCUCUGUAUCUUUGCGUGUGUGCUACUCUGAUAAGGAGAUUAAUUGGACUGGCGAUUGAGCUUUAGAACUGUGACAGUAGUCAUAGUAGUAUGGACUUUUCUACUAUAUAUCCGACGAUUCACGACUUGAUGUAUGUUAUACAGUAUAUACAUAUGUAUAUACAGCAGCCAAACCUAUGAUAUAUUAACCAUUUUGACAUUAGAGUAUGUAUGUAGAAACUAUUUUUCUUUUUUGGUGUGAUGUUUACAAAUAAAUAUAAAUUUAAACUAUUAAGGAAGACUUGAAGAAAGGUUUGGUGGAACCAGUGGCUUAAGCCUUGAUACCAAUUAAGAGUUUAUUAAAUUAAACCUAUCAAACUGAUUUCAAUUCGAUGAUAAUAUAUAUGGUACAAAAGUAUAAUCUUGUUUACAAUGGAUAACGUAAACUUAAUUGUAUCACAUUCACUUAUUUCCGACUCAUUGGAACCAUUGCCAUUUCAUAGUUCCUCCCAUGCAUCUAUAUUUCCACGCCCGUAUAUUACAUCAAAUAAAUUCACAACUUCAACUCCAAAAGAAAAAACCAAGUACAGAUCGAUAGUCCCAGCAUAAAUCUUCUUAUUCUCAUUUAUUUCGACUCAUGCCUCCCUCCACCAUGGGGGGCACCGAGCCCAUUGCCACUUGGUGGUUCC
rnacentral:lncRNA from 1 species